GAGUUUGAUCGUGGCUCAGGACGAACGCUGGCGGCGUGCCUAAUACAUGCAAGUCGAGCGAAUGAUGAAGAAGCUUGCUUCUUCUGAUUUAGCGGCGGACGGGUGAGUAACACGUGGGCAACCUGCCCUGUAGAUUGGGAUAACUCCGGGAAACCGGGGCUAAUACCGAAUAAUCCAUUUCCUCACAUGUGGAGAUGUUAAAAGACGGUUUCGGCUGUCACUACAGGAUGGGCCCGCGGCGCAUUAGCUAGUUGGUGAGGUAACGGCUCACCAAGGCGACGAUGCGUAGCCGACCUGAGAGGGUGAUCGGCCACACUGGGACUGAGACACGGCCCAGACUCCUACGGGAGGCAGCAGUAGGGAAUCUUCCACAAUGGACGAAAGUCUGAUGGAGCAACGCCGCGUGAGUGAAGAAGGUUUUCGGAUCGUAAAACUCUGUUGUGAGGGAAGAACAAGUACGAGAGUAACUGCUCGUACCUUGACGGUACCUCAUUAGAAAGCCACGGCUAACUACGUGCCA
rnacentral:rRNA from 1 species